UAUUUUUCCAAAUCUUUUAUAUAUAUAAAUAAAUAACCAAAAACCACAAGUGUAAAGCAAAGAGAGAGUUCCAGAAUAAGAAUCUUGAUUCAAUACCACAAAGAAAGAGAGAAAAAAAAAGGUAACACAAGAAAUUUUCUCUUCUUUCCUACACUUCUUUUUAUCAUUUUUCGAAAAUCGCGAAGAUAAUUUUUUGAUACGAAAGCUGCUAUCAGUAUUGAAAACGUUGUUUUUGCUAUGGCGGAAGAAUUUCAACUAGGGGGAGGGAAUUGGUGGGAAAAUAAUACGUCCACAUCAUCAAGGAAUAGGUUCGAUAGUAGUGGUUCAUCCAUUACACCUACAACUUCCACAUCGGCCACUACUACUGACUAUAGUAGUAAUUGGCCGAUACAAACUAAUCAUGUGGACAUCAAACCUAGGACUUUCUUGGAUUCUGUGUCGGUGUCUCAAUCUUCCGAUCAUGAUGAUAAGGGUGAAGGAGGAGGAGGAGGUGGCGGCGGCGUUUUAUCUUCUCAUGAUUCAAAUUUCCAAAUUAUGGGUUUGGGCCUUACUUCUCAACCACAUGAUUGGAACCACCAAUCUUUAUUGAAUUAUGAGGAUUCUUCGUCACAAAUGAAUAUUAGGGGUUUUUCGUUAGAUCAAAAUAAUUCAAUAUUUAGUCAUUCAUCAAAUUACGAAGUAACUGAUAAUCAUCAAGUGUUGCAUUCGUCUACGACGAAUUCUUGGUCUAAAUUUCCUCAAUUUCUCCGAGCAUCACCUUCGCCGGAGCAGCCUCCAUUGCCGCCACCGGCGCGGCCGUUGCCGCCACCUCACAGCCAGCUGCAUUUCUCAAAUAAUACUCCAUUUUGGAAUGCAAGUGCAGCUUCCAUGAAUGAUGUUCCUUCAAGUUUAUUUCCUUCUAAUUUGCAUAAUAUUCCUAAUAACACAACAAUUGAUGAGAAAGCAAAGAAUAUGGGAGAUGUUAGAGAUAUAAAUAGAAUUAUAUCAAAGAAAACCACCACUACUGAAACAUCAAAUAAAAGGCCAAGGAAUGAAACUUCAACUCCUUCUCCGACAAUUAAGGUGAGAAAAGAGAAAAUGGGAGACAGAAUCACUGCACUUCAACAAUUAGUCUCACCUUUUGGAAAGACAGAUACAGCUUCUGUAUUAUCAGAAGCAAUUGAGUAUAUAAAGUUCCUCCAUGAUCAAAUUGGUGCAUUAAGCGCCCCAUAUAUGAAAAGUGGAGCAUCCAUGCAACAUCUUCAGAGUGAUAAUAAAUCCGAAGAUAUUGGAGAAGGAAGAAGUAAAGAUUUGAGAAGUCGAGGGUUAUGUUUGGUACCAAUUUCAAGUAUUUUUCCAGUAACUCAUGAGACUAAUGUUGAUUUAUGGACACCUACUUUUGGAUCAACUUUUAGAUAAUUUAAUUCCGUCGCAAAUAGUUGCGACAGACGAAUAUUUCUGUUGAAAAAUUCAACGAAAGUAUUCGUGGAGGGAAAUGAAUGGACUUAUUAUAGACGGAUUCAGAAUAUGAAAUCGACUAUGCAUUAGUUGACAUCUAAUGUCCUUGGCAUUGAACUUGUUGAGGUCUGUCCUUCGAAUUAAUAAUGUGUGACAUACUCUAACGACGUACGCAAUACAAUCUAUGCCGACGUUGAAUUCACCAAAACAAUACAAUAUGAUGCAUUAUGAAACUGAACCCGGACACACGGGAGCGAAGUAGCUCGACACAACGAUCAAAAUUUUAUUUAGGUAUACAUGGUAGAUCAAGAACGUAACCCUGUUGGUGAAAAUUCUGUCUCUGCCACGGCCCUGUGGAGUAAGUAUAGACGGAUAGUUCAAUUCGUGUCGUUCCAUUGCUUACUUCCAGGAACCCAUUUAGGACACACGGGACUAAAGUAGCUCGACACAACCCUCGAAUUCAAUAGCUCAACGAGCGGGGCAAAUUUAACGCAUCGUGGCGUCUUGUAUUGGUUAAUGGAAGCUCCUAAUAAGCUAGUACAACAAUAGUCCAUGAGCUUGUCAAAAGUACCUGUUUCCACUAUCCUGAUUUCAAGAACCCUGGCGAUAGACGUUGUCGAGAGAUUCUUCAAUGGUGAGGCAACAAUCUUCAAGGACUGAAGGAGGAAUCGGGGCAGAGACGUUGACGUUUAGCUCCAAGAACAGGACAUAAUGGCCUGGAAUGGUAGUAGUAUCCGCAUAGCUGGUGUAGUCGACUACACGUGCAUCGAAUGGCAUCAGAUUGUUUUCUGCAUUA